GACGAACCGUGCGAACGUUAUUCGGAAUCACUGGGCUUAAAGCGCGUGUAGGCGGAUGGGAACGUCGGUCGUUGAAAGCCCCCGGCUCAACCGGGGAAUGGGCGCCGAAACGGCCCGUCUGGAGGGACGUAGGGGGACCUGGAACUUCCGGUGGAGCGGUGAAAUGCGUUGAGAUCGGAAGGAACGCCCGUGGCGAAAGCGAGGUCCUGGACGUCUGCUGACGCUGAGCAGCGAAAGCGUGGGGAGCAAACAGG
rnacentral:rRNA from 1 species